rnacentral:lncRNA from 1 species
GGACGGCACCAUGGUUGCGCACGUAGUGGAGGGGGACGGGGGUGAUGAAGCCGUGGUGCAUGAGUCGCCUCAGCGGCGGCUCUGAGUUGAACGGGUGCUUCCCCGUCAGCCGGAUCAGGCUGGAGUUGCGCUCCACCCAUGCGUCGGCGGUGGCCUCGUCCCUCGCAUCCAGCGCCGACGGCUCAAUCUCUCCUGCCCCCGACGAGGCCUUCAAUGCCGCGAUGUACUCCUCGUAGUCGGAGUCCUCAUCGUCGGAGUCCUCCGGGUGGUGGUGGUGGCGGCGGCGGAAGGAGGCGGCGCCGCCGUUUGGGAAAGAAUCGCCGGCCCCGGAGACGAAGGGGGAGGCCACCUUGCCGGCGCCCUUCUCGAGGUGGCCGAACCGCCGGUUGUCGACAGAGGUCACCAUUAAAGCAGACACACCUCCCGACAGAUGGAUGAACAGAGGGGGCGAGUCUUCGUCGGUGAGGUGUAAAGGAUAGCUGCAGAUUUAUAAACCAGGUGGAAGGAAGGCCGGGUGAGAGGAGACGAACCUCGGCCAUAAACUACUAGCCGGGGACGACGUGUUCCUCUCACGGCCUGUGCCGGGCAUCGCCGGCGGGCCCGCCGGCACGUCCUGUUCCCUCGGAUUUCCAACACGAACAGCUCCCAGCGGUAGGGAAAGGCGAGGGGUCACCCCACCCCGCCGCCGCCCCCUCUCAAGUUGCAGGGGGUGGGCUGGGGAUGACGACGAAUGACGGAAAUUCCCGCUGCCCCAUUUGACCCUUCCCCCCACCCACCGCGGCGUUCGACGGCGGCGGCCUUGGGUUUACCGGUCAUGCGGCGGGGCACCGCUUGGCCUGGGCGGCCGUCGCGGCCCGCCCCUCCGUUAGGCCAAGGGGCGCGCCGACGGGAGCUUCCUGUGGGGGAAGCGGCGAGCGGGGCUCACAGCUUCUGCAGGGGUUGUCUCGUACCAGGAGGGUGCGUUGUUGGAGGACGGCUCUAUGGAUCGACGGAGGGCCAAGAGUCGGUCGUCUGAGGCUCGUCCCCGCCCUUUGGCGCGCCCGCCGGCCUGGCUCCCCAGCUCUAUCUCGCGCCGCGGUUUCCAGCGUCGGGUCCUAGUUUGGCUCCUGCCGAGCUAGAGAGAGAUAGAGAGAGAGAUAGAGAGAGAAAUAGAGAGAGAGAGAGAGAGAGAGAGAGAGAGAGAGAGA